rnacentral:rRNA from 1 species
UACAGAGGGGGCAAGCGUUGUUCGGAAUUACUGGGCGUAAAGCGCGCGCAGGCGGCUUCUUAAGUCUAUGGGUGAAAGACCGGGGCUCAACCCCGUGUCAGCCCGGGAUACUGGGGAGCUAGGGACAUGUAGGGGCAAGCGGAAUUCCGGGUGUAGCGGUGGAAUGCGUAGAGAUCCGGAAGAACACCGGGGGCGAAGGCGGCUUGCUGGGCAUGGUCCGACGCUGAGGCGCGAAAGCGUGGGGAGCGAACAGG